AAGCCAGCCAAUGUUUCUGUAGAAAUUUAGAAAAAGCUGGCAAUAGUAAGGUCUCAUAAGCCCUGAGGACAACCACAGUCAUUAAGGUCCCUGAAAAUGGCUACACUA